UACGAAGGGGGCUAGCGUUGUUCGGAUUUACUGGGCGUAAAGCGCACGUAGGCGGAACGUUAAGUCAGAGGUGAAAUCCUGGAGCUCAACUCCAGAACUGCCUUUGAUACUGGUAGUCUGGAGUUCCGGAGAGGUGAGUGGAAUUCCGAGUGUAGAGGUGAAAUUCGUAGAUAUUCGGAGGAACACCAGUGGCGAAGGCGGCCUUCUGGACUGACACUGACACUGAGGUGCGAAAGCGUGGGUAGCAAACAGG
rnacentral:misc_RNA from 1 species